UACAGAGGGGGCAAGCGUUGUUCGGAAUUACUGGGCGUAAAGGGCGCGUAGGCGGCCUUCUAAGUCGGACGUGAAAUCCCUCGGCUCAACCGAGGACGUGCAUCCGAAACUGCAGUGCUCGAGUAUGGAAGAGGGUCGCGGAAUUCUCGGUGUAGAGGUGAAAUUCGUAGAUAUCGGGAGGAACACCAGUGGCGAAGGCGGCGACCUGGGCCAAUACUGACGCUGAGGUGCGAAAGCGUGGGGAGCAAACAGG
rnacentral:rRNA from 1 species